rnacentral:rRNA from 1 species
GCGUGGAGGAAGAAGGUCUUCGGAUUGUAAACUCCUGUUGUUGAGGAAGAUAAUGACGGUACUCAACAAGGAAGUGACGGCUAACUACGUGCCAGCAGCCGCGGUAAAACGUAGGUCACAAGCGUUGUCCGGAAUUACUGGGUGUAAAGGGAGCGCAGGCGGGAGAACAAGUUGGAAGUGAAAUCCAUGGGCUCAACCCAUGAACUGCUUUCAAAACUGUUUUUCUUGAGUAGUGCAGAGGUAGGCGGAAUUCCCGGUGUAGCGGUGGAAUGCGUAGAUAUCGGGAGGAACACCAGUGGCGAAGGCGGCCUACUGGGCACCAACUGACGCUGAGGCUCGAAAGUGUGGGUAGCAAACAGGAUUAGAUACCCUGGUAGUCCACACCGUAAACGAUGAUUACUAGGUGUUGGAGGAUUGACCCCUUC